rnacentral:rRNA from 1 species
ACUCAAAGGAGUGGACGGGGACCAGCACUAGCAGCCGAGCAUUCGGUUUAAUUCGUUGCUACACGAAGAACCUUACCCAGGUUUGACAUGGCGGUGGUAGGGAAGCGAAAGCGGACCGACCCGCAAUGGAGUCGUCACAGGUGUUGCAUGGCUGUCGUCAGCUCGUGUCUUGAGAUGUUGGUUUAAGUACCCUAACGAGCGCAACCCUCGUUGCCAGUUACAGGUGUCUGGCGAGACUGCCGGCCGCAAGCCGGAGGAAGGCGGGGAUGAUGUCAAGUCAGCAUGGCCUUUAUAUCUGGGGCGACACACACGCUACAAUGGGUCGCGACAAUGGGUUGCCAAACCGUGAGGCGGAGCCAAUCCCAUAAAACGGCCCUCAGUUCAGAUUGCAGGCUGCAACCCGCCUGCAUGAAGUCGGAGUUGCUAGUAAACGCGCGUCAGCCAUGGUGCGUUGAAUACGUUCCCGGGUCUUGUACACACCGCCCGUCACACUAUGGGAGCUGGCAACACCUGAAGCCAGUAGCGUAACCGCAAGGGGCGCGCUGUCAAAGGUGGGGCUGGUGACUGG